rnacentral:rRNA from 1 species
AGGCGGCGUNAAGCUGUCGCUAUGGGAUGGCCCCGCGGUGCAUUAGCUAGUUGGUAAGGUAACGGCUUACCAAGGCGAUGAUGCAUAGCNCGAGUUGAGAGACUGAUCGGCCACAUUGGGACUGAGACACGGNCCCAAACUCCUANCGGGAGGCAGCAGUAGGGAAUCUUCCACAAUGGACGCAAGUCUGAUGGAGCAACGCCGCGUGAGUGAAGAAGGUUUUCGGAUCGUAAAGCUCUGUUGUUGGUGAAGAAGGAUAGAGGUAGUNACUG